UACAGAGGGUGCGAGCGUUGUUCGGAAUUAUUGGGCGUAAAGGGCGCGUAGGCGGCGCCACAAGUCACCUGUGAAAACUCUGGGCUCAACCCAGAGCCUGCAGGCGAAACUGUGGUGCUGGAGUAUGGGAGAGGUGCGUGGAAUUCCCGGUGUAGCGGUGAAAUGCGUAAAUAUCGGGAGGAACACCUGUGGCGAAAGCGGCGCACUGGACCAUAACUGACGCUGAGGCGCGAAAGCUAGGGGAGCAAACAGG
rnacentral:rRNA from 1 species